rnacentral:ncRNA from 1 species
UAAUAUGACUAAGAAAUCAAAAAGAUUUCUGUGACAAACACGCUUCACAAUGUGCGACAAAGAAACAUUGUUUAUGCAAAGGCACUUCGCAAUGUGUGCUCAAACAUUGCUUAUUCAAACACGCUUCACAAUGUGCGACAAAGAAACAUUGUUAUAAGAGCUAAUGUUUUACAUUGGCUC